GUCUUCGUGGUGUAAUGGUCAGCACACUGAGCCGGUAAUUCAGAGGUCCGUGGUUCGAUCCCGGCGAAGGCA
rfam:Stegodyphus mimosarum contig47009, whole genome shotgun sequence.